GAAAGAGUAAUACCCCUUUGUCCACGGAAUCUAACUCCGGUGCGAGGAAUGUCCUCAAGAAUAAAUCUCCCUAGACCCAGAGAAGUUUUCAUUUUGUCUGCACUCAGCAAUCCCCAGGACCAACUGCAAGACCAAAGACUUCUCCCGGAGGGACGGUUAUUCGAGUCCAGUGGUACUUACGCUUACAGCAUGCAUAUUUGAGGUUCUAAUGACAGCCAGGACCCUCUCCCCAGGAAAAUGUAUGUACAUCCACAUCCACAUGACUUUGGAACUUCAGGGAUAUUCCCCAGACCACCCUGUGGAUGCCAAGUUGAGAUCCUCUUGUCUGUCCUGACAGGACUCCAGGGAACCUGCCGGGGAACACGGAUUCACUUUGUUCCUGUGGGUUCUCCGUGCACUGACAUCACGUUUGUUCUCGGCAGCACCUGGAACACCUCC
rnacentral:lncRNA from 10 species